GAAGGAUUAGGCUCGCGGAAAGAGCAAGACGCUUUGUGUUGAAGGCGCGCCGCGCCCUUGCGCACCGGGUCGAAUACACGCUUUUUCUUUCCGGAAACUUCCAGAUCAUCGUGUCAUGUGCAU
ensembl:ncRNA C05D12.8 ncRNA